rnacentral:lncRNA from 13 species
GGACAUGGAUGAAUCUGGAGAACAUCAUCCUCAGCAAACUGACACAGGAACAGAAAAUGAAACACCGCAUAUUCUCACUCAUAGGCGGGUGAUGAAAAAUGAGAACACAUGGACACAGAAAGCGUUCCUUCCAGUUUGCAACCUAGGGCAGUCCACUUGCAUGGAACGUUUCCUUUUCAUCACAAUCAUGAGACAGCCAAGUCAAGGGAAGUGUGUGCAGCCCUCCUUAUUUCAAAGGAAGGCCCAUUUCUGCUGGUCUGGGCGAGCUGAUGGACUAUGCAUGAGUGAGAUGGACUGAGGACAGCAGCGGGAAGCACAAUGGACCAGCAGUAUUGUUGGAGGGGAGUGGGAGCCUCUAAAACAAAAGAGAAAAGACUAUCUCGGGUUCUGCGUGUGGCGCAUGAGUCCGGAGGAUUUCGGAGACUUGUUCGGCUCUGGCGCUUCAGAUGAAACAUAGACUCGGGACCGGUGAGGAUGGGAUCCCUGGCACGCGGAGGCAACGCCUCGCUAAGGACAGGCAGGCCAACACUCCCCUUCUUCCUCUUUCGGAAUGUAUUUUCUAUAGACUGCCCUGGGUAUCGGAACCUUCCUUCCGCUGACCGGCGCUUUGUAAUUUCCUCUACAGGCCCGGAUCUGUUCGCAGACCUCAGCCCCAAAUUCUCUCGUUCCUGCUUCUAGCUUCUCUUCUUAGUUUCUCUAGGUUCGUGUCAUCGGCUUUCCUUGUUUCCCAGGUCGAACCACCAGUUCCCAGUAGCGGAGGGGUCUUCGUGUCAUAAAUGUAACUUCCGUGGGCUGGCGUCUGUAACGGGUAGUGGCAGCCCGCGGUCCCACCGCCGUGGAGCACUGUGCGUCGCGGAGAAGAACGUGACCACCGCGGCCAGGCCAGCGCGGAUGUUCCCCGUCUCUGAGCACCUGCUCGGAGUUCCCUCCCGCCGUCGCUCCUGGGUUUCCCUCGUCGCCUACACACAGUCUGUUGGGUGUCGGUCAAGGCUGGGAUCAGAAUCAACACUUAGAAGAGCCACUCCCUCGAAAAAGGCAACCAAGAAAACGAAUGGAUUCUACUACCUUGGAUUAAUUAAACUCGCUGAGCAAAGAGCCCACCUCUGCCGAGUCCCAGUUCUGCCUAAGACAAGGUUUGUCCGCUUUCGUCAGCGACAGGACCGCCCAAGAGAUCAACUAAACGGUAUAACCACUGAACUUCGAGCUCAGAGCCGGCCGCGGGAGGCUCGGCCACCCAGGCAGGAAAAUCAAGGAGCCCAGGUACCAGCAGGGGCGCGUGGGGCGCGGCGAGGGCUCCUAUCCCUGCGGUCCACGUGUUCCUCAGGCGUGGCGCCUGCCGUGCUGAAAACCGCAUCUCCCAAAAUCCCAGCUGGUAAAACCCGCCCGGGUUCUCUCCUGUCAUUCUCCCCGACGUGAAGGGCUCAGAGUGUCUUCGCGUUCGCGGAUCACUGAAACCGCCUCUGCGAGGCCUCCGGGUGACUGAAGAGAGCGGGGUGUUCCGUGUUCUCCCGCCGGUGCGGUCCUCUUCCAGUCCAGCAGCCGGAUUCUGUGCCCGCGAGGGUCUCGGGGGUUUUUAUAGGCACAGGAUGGGGGCGUGGCGGGCCGGGGUGGUCUUGGGAAAUGCAACGUUCGCGCGCGGAGGUCGGAGUGCCUGUCCUCCCCUAGGUCCGGGGCCCAGGCCGGCGGGUGGAUCCUGCCCCGUCCGCUGUCCGCACCUCGGUCCGUGCUCUCUGUUUAAGGCCGCAGCAAUCUCACGCAUUUCCGGGGUGUGUGUUUCUCCCUGUCCUUUCGCUCCCCUUUUCGGGCUCUGGUUUUCCAGCCAGACACAAGGUGUGUGUGUGUCUCCUGGAUUAUCCCGCAGCCUUCUGUCCUUUCCUCCUCCACUGGAGGCUGCGUCCACAGCUGAGCUCUGGGGGAGAGGGGCAGGGGCAGGGGCGGGGGCAGGGGGAGGGGGAAGGAGAGGGGGAGGGGCCGGGGGUGGAGGAGUGGGCGGCCUCCAGCUGCCUCAGGGAAGCGCCUUUCCCAAGUGCGGUGCCAAGUGCGGAAGAGGGAGCCACACCGAGGGAAGGAUUAACCAAUCUUUUUUAACGGAG